rfam:Microcystis aeruginosa NIES-843 DNA, complete genome.
GCGGGUGUAGUUUAGUGGUAAAACCCUAGCCUUCCAAGCUAAUGAUAGGGGUUCGAUUCCCCUCACCCGCU